AACGAACGCUGGCGGCAUGCCUAACACAUGCAAGUCGAACGAGACCUUCGGGUCUAGUGGCGCACGGGUGCGUAACGCGUGGGAAUCUGCCCUUAGGUUCGGAAUAACAGUUAGAAAUGACUGCUAAUACCGGAUAAUGACGUAAGUCCAAAGAUUUAUCGCCUAGGGAUGAGCCCGCGUAGGAUUAGCUAGUUGGUGGGUAAA
rnacentral:rRNA from 1 species